CUAAAAUUUAUGAAUGAUCCAAGGACUGAACCUGAGAAGGAAUAAUUGUUUUCUAGAAAUGGCCCAUGGGCGAGACUCUUGAAAGCUGGAGAAGCGUAAGAGUAGUCCCCAUUUUUAAGACAGAUUCGCACACCUCAAUAGUAAGCAACUACAGGCCAACAAUGACCCUUUUAAAAUACUAGAGAGGCUAGAAAAACAAAGAAUGGAGGAGCACACAUUCGCACAAACUCGAUAAUCCCAUAGAUUUACAGCCUUGUGCAUCAAACAAUUUAAUCAGCACAGUUCAAUCGCUAAAGUCCAAGCCAAGUUUUACCAAGUUUUAGCAGCCUGUUUAGACCUCAAGAAAGUAUUUGCCUUCGUGAACAUAGACACCCUCCAGAGAAGAACUCUAGUCAAAGGAAAUUGUAAAGUGACAAUAAGUAAAGGUUUAAUCGCAAUUGACGAAAUAUGCAGUUCCCUCAAGUGGAACGAAGGAGCUAUGCGAGACGACUGAGGGCGUUCCCCAGAAUUGGUGCAACGCAACUCCCAGAGUAUGCCAAAUUGCGCAGGAGAACUAAGAAAAUUCUCUAGCAAUUUUUCUCUUGUUAUAAAAUGGCUUCAAAAUUUCGAGAAACAAGUGUAUGUUCUAACAAACAAAACCUUCAAAAGGUAGUGUUGUUGAUUUGACUGCGACGACCGACGGACUGCUCGAGAUGUGAUACAGCGUUCGUGUAUUCACCAACCGAGGCGGCAUUGAGGCUCCCGACCAAAUGUGUCUGGCAAACUCGCUUUCAGAAACACGAAAUUUAUUGAUUUUAUUAUAUUUAAUUUAUUUUAGUAAUUGUGCAGAGAAGGUGCUCGUGAAUUUGUCUGAAUUUUCCAGACUACUGUUCUACUGGCUACUUUAAAAACAUAAGUAAAGAAGAGUUUGACAACUAACUCCAUUACAUGAGUGAGAUAUAGAGACAGAGCGAUCAAGAAAGCAUGGGCUGUUAUCUUUUCCACUCAAUUGCUGCUAAUGAACCAAAUCGCUCUUGUUUGGUUUACAGGUUUACAGUGUUAAAGUUUUGUUCGUCAAUGUAUAUCAACUUUAUGGUUUUCAAUAAGAUUUUGAAGUCAGGAGUUUUAAGAUUUUGCCAUGGCAUUAUGAAAAAUCUCAUCUUUUUAAAUUUGUUUCAGUUCAAAAGUUUGCUAAAAAUAAAAACAUUGACAUACAAAUACAUGUGAA